CCUACACGUUAAUUUAAUAUCUUUUUAUUUACUUUUUAAAAUUAUUUUACGUUUUUGAAUUUUCUAACUAGUUUUUGUAUAAUUAAAGAUUAUGUUCACUGUGCACGGACGCACGGUAUACAAAUUACAAUUUACAAAUCUGAACAGUUCUCUUUAGAUGUGGUUUUUAUCGACAAGAAAUUAAAACCAUUGCAAAAACCUAGUUAAACUCAUGCUAUCUACAACAAUCACAGUCUUUUCUUCAUAACUCAAAUUGUUCUGCAAGAUACAAUAACUGAUGUAGUUAUGAAUCCAGUUCGAUUAGGAGAUUAUUUUAUUAAAAAAAAACAGUUCCUACUAACAUAAUUGUUUAUUCGAGUCUGCAAAGGAGAGCUUCCAGAUAAACUAGAAUAACAGUGACUAACAUGGACUACUCAAUAGAGAUGUGUCAUUCACAAACAAUCUAGUUCAAUUGGUUGUUGUUCAGCACUGAUUCCUAGAACAUGGUGAAUAUUGAAUGUCGUAAUCAUUUGGACUUGAAAUGCUCAUAAAAAACUAAUUUGGCUUUCCGGUACAAUUUUUUUUUUUUAUAGAUUGAAAAACUAAUAAUGAAUCUUGUAUUAAAUUUUUAAAUCUUUGUAAAUAUUUAUCUACCUAAUUAUGUAUAUAUAGUUUUAUAUUUAAUAUUGUAUUUAGACUUUAAAGAAAUAAUAUUAAGAGGACGUCUCACCCGCAUGUGUUGUUACCGUCUUACACACGUACCACAUAGUAAAUUUUUGUUCACCAGUUUUAAUAGUGUGCUUUUAGUUUUAAUAUUAGAGUGAAUUGACCUAUUAUCAAACUUUUAGGUAAGAACAUUAACUGUGUUCUCUCAUUGGCUUUUUACGAUAUUUUAAUUUUUAGGUGAGUUAUGAGUAUAAAAAUAUGAAAUUAUUAAAUAUUUGAAAAUGCUCAUAAUUCACUUAAAAAAUUAAAAUAUCGUAAAAAGCCAAUGCGAGAACACAGAUAACGUUCUUACCUAAAAGUUAGGUAAUUGGUCAAUUCACUCUUAUAUUAAAACUAAAAGCAUACUAUUGAAACUGGUGAACAAAAGUUUACUAUGUCGUACGUGUGUAAGACGGAGACAACACAUACGGGUGAGACGUCCUCUUAAGGCUUUACAAUUUACAUAACACGAAUGUAUAAUUUAUUCUACAAGGAAUACUUACUAUAGACUCAUAAACAUUAGAAUUUCCAUUCUUCUAUUGUUCAUAAAAAAACCUAUAAUAUUUAAUUAAUCAUA